rnacentral:tRNA from 1 species
AACCAUGUGGCCUAAGGGAUAAAGUGUCUGACUUCAGAUCAGAAAACUGAGGGUUCAAGUCCCCUCAUAGUUA